AAGCACUUCACAAAUACUAUCUGUGAAUUUCUGUAACAUCCCUCUGAAAUAGGAUUGUUUUCUCCUCUUACAGAUGUGGAAAUCUAAAAAUCAGGGAAAGCAACUGACCCAGCUCAUCUAGGCAAGAAGUUUCAGCCCCAGAAUUAAAAUCAUGAGCAAUACCUGGGCUUUAACCACUGUAGAGCACUCUUCUCUGAUAUGUCCUUUGAAAGCGUAAUAGACCUGAGAGCUGCAGACAGACUCCUCAGAAGUAGCCCAUGAGGCCCAAGGAAUCCACAGACCUGGUUUGCAGGAAGAACUCUGAAGGAUGUCACCUCAGCAGCAAGCUAUGUUGUUGUAAAUAUAUGGCCCAGACUGCUGAAACUCUAAUUGCCGGGGGCCCUCUCAGUUCCUGUCCAGUCAGCAGUCUGUGGGAAAUCCUCGUGCAGACAAACAACAGCCUGCUAGCCCAGUGCUGCUGCUCUACGAGAGCCAGGAAUGAGUGACUGACUGAUGUAAAGAAAAUGAAAUAGAGAUGUGAAAAACAAACCCUGAUUCCCCAGUUAGGCAUGGGAACUACACACAUCUGAGUACUAACUAACUCUACAUCUGAGCACACAAUAAAAGCAGAAAGAAUAACUGCA
rnacentral:lncRNA from 1 species